AGAACGAACGCUGGCGGCGUGCUUAACACAUGCAAGUCGAGCGGUAAGGCCUUUCGGGGUACACGAGCGGCGAACGGGUGAGUAACACGUGGGUGAUCUGCCCUGCACUUCGGGAUAAGCCUGGGAAACUGGGUCUAAUACCGGAUAUGACCUCAGGUUGCAUGACUUGGGGUGGAAAGAUUUAUCGGUGCAGGAUGGGCCCGCGGCCUAUCAGCUUGUUGGUGGGGUAAUGGCCUACCAAGGCGACGACGGGGUAACGACCGUACGAGAGGGUGG
rnacentral:rRNA from 1 species